rnacentral:lncRNA from 1 species
CCCUGUAGAUGAACCUCUCACUAUAUUCAUUGGCUCUUUUUGGAGCUAGUGAUCCUUUUCAAAAGUCUACAGUAAUCUUAGCAAACCAUGAUAAUUUAUUGCAGGCUUCAUCAUUCUGUAAUGACUAAGAAAGGAUAGGUAGGAUUUAAGUAGCGAAUUGAAGAUAGCAUCCUUGCCUAACUAUUCAUGAAGCAGAAAGCCAAGUUU